rnacentral:rRNA from 1 species
GACGUAGGGCGCGAGCGUUGUCCGGAUUUAUUGGGCGUAAAGAGCUCGUAGGCGGUGUGUCGCGUCGGCCGUGAAAACCUGCAGCUUAACUGUGGGCGUGCGGUCGAUACGGGCAUCACUGGAGUUCGGCAGGGGAGACUGGAAUUCCUGGUGUAGCGGUGAAAUGCGCAGAUAUCAGGAGGAACACCAAUGGCGAAGGCAGCUCGCUGGGACGGUACUGACGCUGAGGCGCGAAAGCGUGGGGAGCAAACAGG